ACUUUAAUUCCUUAGUGGGUACUAGAAUCUACACAGACCACACACGAGCCCAACUUUGGUUGGUCAACCCAUGUGCAUCUAUGGGUAGGUUCAUAACCAGUUGUUUCUUUAAACAACUUCUAGUAAUAAAUUUUGCCCCAGAACCUAAUCAGUAGGCUUUGGCCUCCACUGAAAAGAUCUAGUUAGGUCCAACCAUUAACAUGACUUGAUUUGGUGAAUCGGACCAAUAAAUGAUCAGGCCCGACUUUGGCUGGCCAACCUGACCACCAUCAGAAAGACUCAACCAAAUUAUCAUACUAUGAAUGAUAAUUCCAUUAGUCAAUAAGCACCAGGCCUUUGGGCCUCCAAUGAUUAUUAAACUAAUGAACUCAUUAUCACUCACUUAAUGGGAGGCUAUGACUUAGUUAUCACUAUAACUUAAUCAUUUUAGGGACCUAAUAAUUUUGAGAAUUUUAUUAAAGGAUAGAAAAGAAGAAAUUAACCAGCCAAUUUU
rnacentral:lncRNA from 1 species